GUUAUAUGGUCAAGUGAAGAAGCGCAUACGGUGGAUGCCUUGGCAGUCAGAGGCGAUGAAAGACGUGGUAGCCUGCGAAAAGCUUCGGGGAGUCGGCAAACAGACUUUGAUCCGGAGAUGUCUGAAUGGGGGAACCCAGCCAUCAUAAGAUGGUUAUCUUGUACUGAAUACAUAGGUGCAAGAGGCGAACCAGGGGAACUGAAACAUCUAAGUACCCUGAGGAAAAGAAAUCAACCGAGAUUCCCUUAGUAGUGGCGAGCGAACGGGGACUAGCCCUUAAGUGGCUUUGAGAUUAGCGGAACGCUCUGGAAAGGGCGGCCAUAGUGGGUGAUAGCCCUGUACGCGAAAAUCUCUUAGUCAUGAAAUCGAGUAGGACGGGGCACGAGAAACCUUGUCUGAAUAUGGGGGGACCAUCCUCCAAGGCUAAAUACUACUGACUGACCGAUAGUGAACUAGUACCGUGAGGGAAAGGCGAAAAGAACCCCGGAGAGGGGAGUGAAAUAGAUCCUGAAACCGUAUGCGUACAAGCAGUGGGAGCCCACUUUGUUGGGUGACUGCGUACCUUUUGUAUAAUGGGUCAGCGACUUAUUUUCAGUGGCGAGCUUAACCGAAUAGGGGAGGCGUAGCGAAAGCGAGUCUUAAUAGGGCGUCUAGUCGCUGGGAAUAGACCCGAAACCGGGCGAUCUAUCCAUGGGCAGGUUGAAGGUUGGGUAACACUAACUGGAGGACCGAACCGACUACCGUUGAAAAGUUAGCGGAUGACCUGUGGAUCGGAGUGAAAGGCUAAUCAAGCUCGGAGAUAGCUGGUUCUCCUCGAAAGCUAUUUAGGUAGCGCCUCAUGUAUCACUGUAGGGGGUAGAGCACUGUUUCGGCUAGGGGGUCAUCCCGACUUACCAAACCGAUGCAAACUCCGAAUACCUACAAGUGCCGAGCAUGGGAGACACACGGCGGGUGCUAACGUCCGUCGUGAAAAGGGAAACAACCCAGACCGUCAGCUAAGGUCCCAAAGUCAUGGUUAAGUGGGAAACGAUGUGGGAAGGCUUAGACAGCUAGGAGGUUGGCUUAGAAGCAGCCACCCUUUAAAGAAAGCGUAAUAGCUCACUAGUCGAGUCGGCCUGCGCGGAAGAUGUAACGGGGCUCAAACCAUGCACCGAAGCUACGGGUAUCACUUAGGUGAUGCGGUAGAGGAGCGUUCUGUAAGCCUGUGAAGGUGAGUUGAGAAGCUUGCUGGAGGUAUCAGAAGUGCGAAUGCUGACAUGAGUAACGACAAUGGGUGUGAAAAACACCCACGCCGAAAGACCAAGGUUUCCUGCGCAACGUUAAUCGACGCAGGGUUAGUCGGUCCCUAAGGCGAGGCUGAAAAGCGUAGUCGAUGGAAAACAGGUUAAUAUUCCUGUACUUCUGGUUAUUGCGAUGGAGGGACGGAGAAGGCUAGGCCAGCUUGGCGUUGGUUGUCCAAGUUUAAGGUGGUAGGCUGGAAUCUUAGGUAAAUCCGGGAUUCUAAGGCCGAGAGCUGAUGACGAGUUGCCAUUAGGCGACGAAGUGGUUGAUGCCAUGCUUCCAAGAAAAGCUUCUAAGCUUCAGGUAACCAGGAACCGUACCCCAAACCGACACAGGUGGUUGGGUAGAGAAUACCAAGGCGCUUGAGAGAACUCGGGUGAAGGAACUAGGCAAAAUGGCACCGUAACUUCGGGAGAAGGUGCGCCGGUGAGGGUGAAGGACUUGCUCCGUAAGCCCAUGCCGGUCGAAGAUACCAGGCCGCUGCGACUGUUUAUUAAAAACACAGCACUCUGCAAACACGAAAGUGGACGUAUAGGGUGUGACGCCUGCCCGGUGCCGGAAGGUUAAUUGAUGGGGUUAGCUAACGCGAAGCUCUUGAUCGAAGCCCCGGUAAACGGCGGCCGUAACUAUAACGGUCCUAAGGUAGCGAAAUUCCUUGUCGGGUAAGUUCCGACCUGCACGAAUGGCGUAACGAUGGCGGCGCUGUCUCCACCCGAGACUCAGUGAAAUUGAAAUCGCUGUGAAGAUGCAGUGUAUCCGCGGCUAGACGGAAAGACCCCGUGAACCUUUACUAUAGCUUUGCACUGGACUUUGAAUUUGCUUGUGUAGGAUAGGUGGGAGGCUUUGAAGCGUGGACGCCAGUUCGCGUGGAGCCAACCUUGAAAUACCACCCUGGCAACUUUGAGGUUCUAACUCAGGUCCGUUAUCCGGAUCGAGGACAGUGUAUGGUGGGUAGUUUGACUGGGGCGGUCUCCUCCUAAAGAGUAACGGAGGAGUACGAAGGUGCGCUCAGACCGGUCGGAAAUCGGUCGUAGAGUAUAAAGGCAAAAGCGCGCUUGACUGCGAGACAGACACGUCGAGCAGGUACGAAAGUAGGUCUUAGUGAUCCGGUGGUUCUGUAUGGAAGGGCCAUCGCUCAACGGAUAAAAGGUACUCCGGGGAUAACAGGCUGAUACCGCCCAAGAGUUCAUAUCGACGGCGGUGUUUGGCACCUCGAUGUCGGCUCAUCACAUCCUGGGGCUGAAGCCGGUCCCAAGGGUAUGGCUGUUCGCCAUUUAAAGUGGUACGCGAGCUGGGUUUAGAACGUCGUGAGACAGUUCGGUCCCUAUCUGCCGUGGACGUUUGAGAUUUGAGAGGGGCUGCUCCUAGUACGAGAGGACCGGAGUGGACGAACCUCUGGUGUUCCGGUUGUCACGCCAGUGGCAUUGCCGGGUAGCUAUGUUCGGGAAAGAUAACCGCUGAAAGCAUCUAAGCGGGAAACUUGCCUCAAGAUGAGAUCUCACUGGAACCUUGAGUUCCCUAAAGGGCCGUCGAAGACUACGACGUUGAUAGGUUGGGUGUGUAAGCGCUGUGAGGCGUUGAGCUAACCAAUACUAAUUGCCCGUGAGGCUUGACCAUAUAACACCCAAGCAAUU
rnacentral:rRNA from 1 species